UCGUAUAAUAUAUUCCAUCGUAUUAUAUUUUGCAUGUGUUUAUGCAUGGACAACAAUGCAAAAUCUAUAUUGUGUUGUUUCUUUUCGCUUUUCAAAGUCAGUUUAGACGACUGAAGACGACAUUUGUUUGACAAAUUAAAUACGGGCAUUGAGGAGCAUUCUGCCUCUGAAAUUUUAGGAAAAAUUGCUUUAUUAAAUCACAAUGAAGGUGAUAUUGUUCAACAUCCAGCGGCGUCAAGUCAAAGAACAAACUGAAAGAUUUUAUCGAUUUGAAUGGUACGAGAUGGUUAAUAAAAUUUAGUAUCAUUGCAAAAAUCUAUCAUCAGUUAUAAGCGAAAAGCUGACAAGCAAGCCCAUUGAAAAUAACUGCACUAUGUCUCACAAAUUUCUCCCAUCGUUGACCCAAACAAGAUGAAGGAUACCGGUUACUUAUGCGGAAGGUUUUGUCAAAAACAUCACGACAAAGAAGACUUUCAAGCUAAAAUUUUGUUGCUUUUUGUUAAAGAAAUCUAUUGAAAUUGCACGAUCAAAUUGUAUUGGGGGAUCAGGCAACUGGUCAAAACGAACAAAAUGGAAGUCAUCUCGUUUGUUAUAAACAAAUAGCAACCUCUCUUCUGAAGUAUAAAUCUGACAACUUGAAGAUGCGAUGGCUUCGCUUAAUCCAUUUACGUCACAGAAUGCUGGAUGUUCAGAAUCAGAAUUUUCAUUGGGUGGUGAAAUCAAAGUUUUGAUUGGUUCUUGUAAAUGUUUAUAAACUGCGUCGAGCUCAUGACAUCGUCAGAUAUCACUUACACUUUGACUUUCGUGAUGGAAACAUCUCCCAACCAAGGGUCAAAACAAGCUCAGAACAGAAGCAGGAUGAAGUACAUCAGAUGAAAACGAAAUAACACUCUUUCAUAAAACUAGCAAUGUUAUUUUUAUUGUUGCUUUGUCCAUUUGCAAUGUCGAUAAAAUCAUAAAGAUUCUAUCGUUUUGUGAACUUUUGUAAUUUUACAGCGAACAUCUUAAUACACUUCCGCGUGUGAAAUUUCAAAUAUUCUCAGUUUCAUUUGAUGAUAUAUAAAGUUAGAAAGUAGCAAUAGAAUUUUUCAACGAACUUCACAGACUGUAUAAGUUCUGAUACACAACAAAGGUGAAAGUCGAGAUUAAAUUAAGAUGAAAUUUAACUUUCACUUCAACGACUGCACAUUUACAAUAGUUUCGCGAAGGUCCAAUUCAUCUCAAGCUAAAUAUUUGAGGCUGUAUUUUAACCAUAAUGGACCUUAAAUAAAUUUUCUCUCGAAA